rnacentral:misc_RNA from 1 species
GAUGAAGAACGCAGCGAAAUGCGAUACGUAAUGUGAAUUGCAGAAUUCAGUGAAUCAUCGAAUCUUUGAACGCAUAUUGCGCUCUCUGGUAUUCCGGAGAGCAUGCUUGUUUGAGUAUCAGUAAACACCUCAACUUCCAUAUCUUUUUUGAAAUGGGAGUUGGACUUGAGUGAUCCCAACGCUUUUCCUCACCGAAAAGUGGCGGGUUACUUGAAAUGCAGGUGCAGCUGGACUUUUCUCUGAGCUAUAAGCAUAUUUAUUUAGUCUGCCUAAAAAACAGAUUAUUACCUUUGCUGCAGCUAACAUAAAGGAGAUUAGUUCUUGUGCUGACUGAUGCAGGAUUCACAAAGACAGGCUUCGGCCGACUUUGUAAACUCGAUCUCAAAUCAAGUAAGACUACCCGCUGAACUUAAGCAUAUCAAUAAGCGGAGGA